rfam:Clostridium sp. CAG:288 genomic scaffold, scf14
UUUGUAAAAAAGCAAAGCUAUCGUAAGGUAGUGACGCAAAACUAGAGGGUCCUAAAUUGGAUAGCCAGUUGCUACA